rnacentral:rRNA from 1 species
GAUGAACGCUGGCGGCGUGCCUAAUACAUGCAAGUCGAGCGAACGGACGAGAAGCUUGCUUCUCUGAUGUUAGCGGCGGACGGGUGAGUAACACGUGGAUAACCUACCUAUAAGACUGGGAUAACUUCAGGAAACCGGAGCUAAUACCGGAUAAUCUUUUGAACCGCAUGGUUCAAAAGUGAAAGACGGUCUUGCUGGCACUUAUAGAUGGAUCCGCGCUGCAUUAGCUAGUUGGUAAGGUAACGGCUUACCAAGGCAACGAUGCAUAGCCGACCUGAGAGGGUGAUCGGCAACACUGGAACUGAGACACGGUCCAGACUCCUACGGGAGGCAGCAGUAGGGAAUCUUCCGCAAUGGGCGAAAGCCUGACGGAGCAACGCCGCGUGAGUGAUGAAGGUCUUCGGAUCGUAAAACUCUGUUAUUAGGGAAGAACAUAUGUGUAAGUAACUGUGCACAUCUUGACGGUACCUAAUCAGAAAGCCACGGCUAACUACGUG